GACGAACGCUGGCGGCGUGCUUAACACAUGCAAGUCGAACGGAAAGGCCCUGCUCUUGUUGGUUGCUCGAUUGGCGAGCGGGUGUGUAACACGUGUGUAUCCUGCCCUUGUCUUUGUGGUAACUUUAGGAAACUCGGGCUAAUACCCGAUAUGAUCUCCUGCUGCAUGUUGGGGGUUGGUAAGUUUCGGCGGUUGGGGAUGGACUCGCGGCUUAUCAGCUUGUUGGUGUGGUAGUGGCUUACCAAGGCUUUGACGGGUAGCAGGCCUGAGAGGGUGAACGGCCACAUGGGGACUGAGAGACGGACCAGAAUCCUACGGGAGGCAGCAGGGGGGAAUAUUGCAGAAUGGGCGGAAGCCUGAUGCAGAAACGCCGCGUGCGGGAUGACGGCCUUCGGGUUGUAAACCGAUUUCGCCUGUGACGAAGCGUGAGUGACGGUAAUGGGUAAAGAAGCACCGGCUAACUACGUG
rnacentral:rRNA from 1 species